UACGGAGGAUGCAAGCGUUCUCCGGAAUGAUUGGGCGUAAAGCGUCCGCAGGUGGCAAUGUAAGUCUGCUGUCAAAGCGUCUGGCUCAACCAGAUAAAGGCAGUGGAAACUACAUAGCUAGAGUAAGGUAGGGGUAGAGGGAAUUCCUGGUGUAGCGGUGAAAUGCGUAGAGAUCAGGAAGAACACCGGUGGCGAAAGCGCUCUGCUGGACCUUAACUGACACUGAGGGACGAAAGCUAGGGGAGCGAAUGGG
rnacentral:rRNA from 1 species